rnacentral:lncRNA from 1 species
AUAGCAGGAGUUAUUCAAACUAUUCGCUAUUUGACCACUGGUCCCCCUGAUAUAUUUGAACGGAUACAACUUCUCUAUCGACCGAGAAUCGAUCUGCAGCACAAUAUUCAUGAUAUGGCAGCCCAAGGGAAUUCAGAAAAUAGUGUGGGCAUGGUGGUGGAAUACCUGUGGAAGAUCCGCCUCCAAAGUACACUCCACCCCCCUCUUACUCCACAGCUACUGGAGCAAGAAUUGCAAAGCUGUUGCGGCAAAGUCUGCGACGGAGUGUUCGAGGUAUCAGAAACAUACGUUCUGCACUCGGAACUCCCACUCAGACCAGGGACACUUAUGAUGUGGCCAAUCCUCCUGGAAGCCCUCGGGGACCUCCACCUCCCAACUACGCAGCUGUUUUGGUGGAGAUUAAUCAGUCGCAAGGAAAUGGCAAUUCAAACCGUACUCAGAUAA